rnacentral:sRNA from 1 species
AUGAGUGUGCUAAAACCAAAACAUUCAUUAGUGGGAAAGUCUUUGGUGCCUGUAAUAUUAAAAUUUAAAGCACAAGUAGAGAGGAUAGAGGAAUGUGACCUUCACAGACUAAAAAAAGGACAUGCAUUAACCAGAUAUAAUCUGGAUGAGUUAAGGGCAGAGUUUGAAGGACUCACGGGAGAAAGCUCGAGGGAUAUUUUGCUUUUAACUGGGAGAGAAGAGGAUUUUGAUAGUCUGGUUAUAUUGAUGCAUUUCGCCAUAGAGCAGGCAAACAUGGUGGGGGCACCAAAAGGUCAAGUUCUAGUGCAAACUUCCAGUGCUGAAGUAAACCAGGGGGCGGCUUCAUCUGUUCAAAACAGUGGAGCUGUGGCUUCAUCCUGUUCAGCUGCCACUGCUUCUACUACAUGUAGCUCAUCUGUGUCAACAGCUAGUGUCUCUCAGACUUCAGGUGACAAGAAUAUGGAAACAAGAUUAAGAGACAUUGAGAGGAAGAUGGAAUCUAUGAAAGAGAAAUCGGGGGAGGAUCAGGUAGAGGAGUGUUUAAGACAAGUUAGGAUAUUGGCUGGUCGUCCUAACCUUACACAAGCGCAUGUCCUCCUGGCUGCUUUAGAAACACUUGUUGAUGUCGCAUUUAGAAAUUCUCACAAAGAUGCUGAUUUCUAUUCAAAAUCUUUCACACAUUGUAAAAAAUAUGAAAAUUCUAAAGAUUUAUGUGGGCUUACUAUGAAACUAUUUGGUUCAGCUGAGGAUAGAAAAAUUGCAAAUGUGGUAGCUGAUUGGCUUAAGGGGAAAAAGUAUGAAGGGUCUGGGGUAGCUGAGGAUAAAGAGAACGUGGGUCAAAAUAGUAACAAAAGUUUGGGAGAUUUGACGGGAAUGCAAGCUAAUCCUUAUCCUUAUGUACCAUUGUUGGGACAACCACAAUUCCCUUUUUCCCCUUAUCCUGUGCCAUAUUCUGGAUACCCUGCACAGAGUUUUGGGUUCCCUCGUCCUUCAGUUAGAGAAUGUAUUGUUCAGAGAGUAAAGGAUGAAAAAUGGGUUGAUUACAGGGGUGAGAAUGCUCAGCCCUCACCUUGUGUGACUGCUGAAGAUGUUGCUAAGAAAAAUGUUAAAUUUGAUUUGGAAAAUCUAAGAUUCAGGGAUCCUAAUAAUUUUAUACCUGGGAAUUUGCAUUCAUGUUUACAUGAGUGGGAAAAAAUAGAUGCCCCAGAUAAUGUUCUUGAAUGGCUAAAGGAGGGGGUUGAUGUUAAAAAGUUUUUUAAACCUUUUAAAGGAAACUUUAAGGGUAAGAGUUACAGUUCGGAUGUCCCACCCUCAGUUUAUUUUCCAAAUUCUACCUCUUGUGCACAAUUUAAAGAUUAUAUUGUUAAGACAUUGUAUGAAAGGUUGGAAAAUGGUUCUCUUACACUGAUUGGGAAGGUAGGUUUUUGCGAGCCACCUCACUUGGUUUUGCCUCUUACAGUGGAACCUACAAAACCACGUUUGUGCCAUGAUGAAAGGUUUUUGAAUCUUUGGGUGAAGGAUUGCCCUUUUUCUUUAGAUACUUUAAAAGAUGUUCCACGCUUAGUUCAGAGAGGCAUGUUUAUGUCUAGUAUGGAUGACAAGUCGGGAUAUGAUCAUAUUUAUUUGAGUGAGCAGUCUAAAACAUAUUUUGGAUUGCAGUUUGGAGGAUGGUUUAUGAUAUUUAAUACUCUUCCUUUUGGAUUUAAAGCAAGUGCGUUUAUUUAUCAAAGUGUAGGUAUGGUGGCUACUAGUUGGUGUAGGUCUUUAGGUGUACCAUGUUUGCAAUACAUUGAUGAUAGAUGGAUUGGGGGAUUUUUGCAGUCUCUUUUCCAUGACCUUGAAGUUUCUCCAAAUGACAGUCACCUGGAUGACAGUCAGGUAGCAGAAAAGGCAUUAUAUAUUGUCUGUCAAGUGAUGAUAAGAGUUGGAUAUUUUCUCAAUAUUAAAAAGUCAGUCUUAGUUCCAGUGAAAUGUAUAAAGUUUUUAGGGAUGUUAGUUGACUCUGAGAGAUUAGCAUUUAUUAUUCCAGAUGAGAAAAUUCAGAAGUUUAUCGGCUUAAGAGAAAGUAUCUUAGAUUGUGAUAAGACAAGUGUUCUUACUUUACAAAAGUUUGCUGGCAAAUGUGUAUCUUUUAUGUUAGCGUUUCCUGGGGCUAAGUUGUAUACAAAGGAAGUAAACAGAGCAAUAGAUUACUGGAGGAAUGAGGAUGAUAGGCCAAUUCAUGUUAAAGAGGCUCAAGCUUUGUUCAAUGCUCUAUGUUCAGUCAAAGAUGUGGUAAAAAACCACAGGGUAGACGCUUAUGUAGACAAUUUGGCUUGUGUCUAUGGUUGGGAGAGCAUGAGUGGGAAAGACCCUGCUUUGAACAGAAUUAUGAAGAGUUUGUGGAAUUUCAGUGUGGGUAAUAAUAUGGAUUUGCAUUUGUUGUAUGUGAAAUCUGAAGAUAACCCAGCAGAUUGUCAUUCUAGAAGAUUGUCAGCAUUGGAUUGUAUGUUAACUAGGGAGAAGUUUGAGACUAUUGAAAAGAGGUUUGGUCCACAUUCAGUUGAUCUAAUGUCCCUUGAUUCAAAUUGUAUGAUUAGCCAAGUAAAUGGGGAAACCUUUAAGGCAUUUCACACCAUACCCGACCCCAUUGUCUGCUGGUGUGAAUGUAUUUUCUCAGGAUAUAACAUUGGAGAAGAAUCCAUAUGUAUUUCCUCCAUUUAG